CGUGGCCUGUUACCUUGUAUUUCGGAACCGCAGAGGGCAGACCAGGUAAACCUUGUGGUGGGGCCGGGAGAGCUCCCGACUCAGGAGGAGUCAGGGGAGGCUUCCCGGGGGAGGUGACCCCAGGCCGAGACCCGAGGGCGAGUAGAAGCUGGCAGAUGAGGGGGUCAGGAGGUGGGAGCAACCCAGAUGCUGACAGAUGAUGAUGAAGAACAAGAUGUGGAAUAUUAUGCAGCCUUGAAAAGGAAGGGCCUUCUGAGAGGAAACGUGGAGGUGUGAGACACACAUGGGAGUGUGCACAGAGGACACCAAUCCCACACGUGGACACCCGCGCAACCACCACUCGAAUCUUUGAAACGGAUCCCCGCUCUCCAGAAGGUUCCAACUGCCUCUUCCCAGUCCAUACGUGGCUCCUGUCCACGCUGGCCUCCCAUCAUCGUCAGUUUUAUCUUCAAAACCCAGAAUUCCCCUUCCUUUUCCAUCACAGCUUGAGAUCGGGUCUUUGGGAUUAAGUGACUCUGGCA